GACGAACGCUGGCGGCGUGCUUAACACAUGCAAGUCGAACGGAGUGGCGAACGCGUGAGUAACACGCGGGUGACUUGCCUUGCACUUCGGGAUAAGCUUGGGAAACCGGGUCUAAUACCGGAUAGUGCAAGAUGAGCUCGCGGCCUAUCAGCUUGUUGGUGGGGUAAUGGCCUACCAAGGGGUCGACGGGUAGCCGGCCUGUGAGGGUGUACGGCCACAUUGGGCCUGAGAUACGGCCCAGUGGCCUACGGGGGGCAGCAGUGGGGAAUAUUACACAAUGAGCGGAAGCGUGAUGCAGCGGCGCGGGGUGGGUGAUGAGGGCCUUCGGGUUGUAAACUCCUUUCGACAGGGACGCGGUACCUGUAUAAGAAGCACCGGCUAACUACGUGCCAGCAGCCGCGGUAAUAC
rnacentral:rRNA from 1 species